rnacentral:rRNA from 1 species
UAGGGAAUCUUCCGCAAUGGACGCAAGUCUGACGGAGCAACGCCGCGUGAGUGAAGAAGGAUUUCGGUUCGUAAAACUCUGUUGUUAGAGAAGAACAGCGCAUAGAGUAACUGUUAUGCGUGUGACGGUAUCUAACCAGAAAGCCACGGCUAACUACGUGCCAGCAGCCGCGGUAAUACGUAGGUGGCAAGCGUUGUCCGGAUUUAUUGGGCGUAAAGCGAGCGCAGGCGGUCAAUUAAGUCUGAUGUGAAAGCCCCCGGCUCAACCGGGGAGGGUCAUUGGAAACUGGUUGACUUGAGUGCAGAAGAGGGGAGUGGAAUUCCAUGUGUGGCGGUGAAAUGCGUCGAUAUAUGGAGGAACGCCGGUGGCGAAAGCGGCUCUCUGGGCUGUAACUGACGCUGAGGCUCGAAAGCGUGGGGAGCGAACAGG